GUCUAUGGCCGUGCCACCCUAAGAGUGCCCAAUCUCGUCUGCUCUCGGAAGCUAAGCGGAUGAGGGCUGGGUUAAUACGUGGACGGGAGAAAUGAGAGUGCUGACA
rnacentral:rRNA from 1 species